AAAUAUUAAUUUAUUUAUUCCAUGUAUACAGGUACACUGUAGCUGUCUUCAGACACACCAGAAGAGAGCAUCAGGUCCCAUUACAGAUGCUUCUGAGCCACCAUGUAGUUACUGGGAAUUAAACUCAGGAUCUCUGGAAGAGCAGUCAGUGCUAUUAACCACUGAGCCAUCUCUCCAGCCCCUUUAGUGUUAAACUUUAACUGACAUUUGAAGAUAUUAUAUCACAAAGAUUUGAAGACUUUGCUGCGAGAAUGUGACUGUGGAACACACUGCAAUUGAUUAUAAAGUUAUAUCUGGUCUAGCACCGGGCACUUGGCAGUUACAGAGCCCGGCGAGGACGCUAGGUUGUGGUUACAGCCUCAUAACCAGCAACCCGUGCCUUUCUCGACAGCACGGCUUCAGUGUUUCCUCUAACGGCGACAUUUAUCAAAUGAGUAGCAAUAAAAUUGAUGUCAAGAAGCCAAUCCUAAAAGCAAAAUGCAUUCACAAUACAGAGCUGCAUACAUGCUGUGAUAGGAAGUAAGCAUGUGGUUACUUCCUAUCUCCAUUUCAACGAUAUAAUAUGUAGUAUGUCCAAGAGAAAGGGAAGCCACUGAUAAGUCUAACAGCACUGUACAAAGUAAAGUCCAGCAUUUGUCAUCAUGAGUGUCCCUGUGUCUCUCCCCACUGAAUAUGUGUUUCGUAAGCUCUAGUGAAGUCACAAAGCACAGUCAUUGUCCUUUCACAAGGUCAUGCAAACUGUCUCUGAGAAUCUGGCCGGAAUGAGCCCGGGAUAAUCAACUGCAAAUGUGCUAGACUGUAAAGCCUCCCCCAGUAAAAAUCUAUUACCACAGCAAAGCUAUCCAGAAAAAAUAAACUCAACAAACUGGUAAGGGAUUUCAUCCGAUAGCCAUGAGAAUUACAAGCACCUCAGAUUUUAAGCAAGAAGAGAUUCCCAUGCCAAACGAUGGGGUGAUCCAGUGAUCUUUUGUAUUUGAAGAGCACAGAUUUACAUCUGCAAAGCCAUUGUUUACUCAAACGUGGAACGCUGCACUCUCUCUGUGCUGGGGACCAUAAGGUGAACUGUUUCCUGUUUUAAGCAACGGAAGGUCCACGGAGAGUGAGCACUCCGUGGCGCUCUCUCCCUUCUCUUCACACAAAUUUGAGUGUGAUAGAGAUUGCUCUGUGUACCUGUGGUAGGGCAACAAUAGUGCCUGUAUUGUCUUGAGUGCUAAGCUCACCCAAAUCAUCUGAAAGGGGUUGGAUAUGUGAAGGGAAACACAGACACCGUGUGCUCUUUAGGAGAGGUUGCCUGGCUGACCUGAGGGUUUCUGUUUUAAAGCCAUCAGUCCACCGCUCUGAAUGAGCAGGCACAGAAUUGUUGAUAACUAAUCACUACUAUUGCUGUGUAAUUCUUGAGGAGGCCCAAAAUUGUGCUGCCAUGGCACUGGUGCCAUAUGUUUCUUCCUGCCCUGUUGCCUUUUCUAUAAAAAGAAUUCAAGGGCCACCAUGCCGUUUAAUCAGACCACUUCAGUAUUGACUGACUGAGGCCAAAUGAAAUUGGGAAAAAU
rnacentral:lncRNA from 1 species